CAAAAAGUGAAAAGUGAAAGUGUUCUGAAUACUUUCUGAAUGCAUUGUAUAACCGAAAGCUUGUUUAGGUGAUGAUGUGGGGGCACCAGAAAGACCGUGCCAAAGCUCUAUAAACUGCGGAGCUUUCAACAGAGAAUAUAGGGGCACAGAACUACCAGCAAACUUGCAAAAGCUUUCAUAAAGAUGGAAUCCACCAUGUACAUUUGGCAAUAGGUGGAAACUCUUCAGGCUUUGAAGGAAAGAGGCGCAAGGAGAUAAACUGCAGCAGUCGGUCCACUAGUUGCUUGAAUCGCUUCUGUGACAUCCUGAUCAAUAAAAAACAAAUAAUUAGAAGAACUUACUUUUUGAACCAGUGAAUUAAUAAACUGUGGUCGGCAUCGGACAGAGUAGCCAUUUGUCGUAGCAGAUGAGCGUAGAUGACAUAAGUGGAGGUACUGCCGAAUUGUGGAUUCUGAAGG